AUUGAACGCUGGCGGCAGGCCUAACACAUGCAAGUCGAACGGUAACAGGAAACAGCUUGCUGUUUCGCUGACGAGUGGCGGACGGGUGAGUAAUGUCUGGGAAACUGCCUGAUGGAGGGGGAUAACUACUGGAAACGGUAGCUAAUACCGCAUAACGUCGCGAGACCAAAGAGGGGGACCUUCGGGCCUCUUGCCAUCGGAUGUGCCCAGAUGGGAUUAGCUAGUAGGUGGGGUAACGGCUCACCUAGGCGACGAUCCCUAGCUGGUCUGAGAGGGUGAACGGCCACAAGGGGACUGAGACACGGCCCUU
rnacentral:rRNA from 1 species